GUGCUUGCUUCGGCAGCACAUAUACUGAAAUUAGAACAAUACAGGGAAGAUUAGCAUGGCUCCUGUUCAAGGACGACAUGCAAAUUCAUAAAGUGUUCCAUAUUUUU